CAGCAGUAGCCGCGGGAAUACGAAGGGGGCUAGCGUUGUUCGGAUUUACUGGGCGUAAAGCGCACGUAGGCGGAUCGAUCAGUCAGGGGUGAAAUCCCAGAGCUCAACUCUGGAACUGCCUUUGAUACUGUCGAUCUGGAGUAUGGAAGAGGUGAGUGGAAUUCCGAGUGUAGAGGUGAAAUUCGUAGAUAUUCGGAGGAACACCAGUGGCGAAGGCGGCUCACUGGUCCAUUACUGACGCUGAGGUGCGAAAGCGUGGGGAGCAAACAGGGUUAGAUACCCCUGUAGUCCCUGUCUCUUAUAC
rnacentral:rRNA from 1 species